CCGGAUUCGGCUUCGCCGAUGCGGCGAGACACGGCGACACAACGUAGAAAUAAACGCACCGAUACAAACAAACCGUCCCGCGGGAUGUCCACGAUUGUCGUGGAGAGGUCGAAACGAGUCCUUCAAAUUCCCUAAUAGAUAGGCCGACUAUAAUCUUUGAACGGCUUCUCUCUUCAUGAAAAACGUACGUAUCGUAGGAUGCCGGCACACGGCCGACAGAGCGUGCACUCGCGUGUCCGCGCUCCGCAUAUCCGCUCCCAUGUCCUGGUAUAGCUGCUUAUAUACCGCGGUUAAAAACAAUGCGAGGAAACGAGCCAUCUUUUCCUGCUAUGGAAAAGGAGCGGAGAACUGCACCUCCGUCCGUCCGUCCGUCCGUCCGUCCGCUCAUCACAAGUUCCAUCGUGCAACGGAACGAUCCGAACUACGCGAGAAAUCGACGCGUUUCUAUCAGGGAUGAGUGGAAAUUUGUGAAUCCACGGCUUUAUAAGAUGUUAAAAACUCAAAAUAUUUAAUUAUUUCUUUUUUGAUGAGAUAAUUGUGAAUAAUAAUUAAGAAAUAAUUAAUUUUUACAUUUUCUUUUAUAAUAUAAUAAUAAAAUUAUGAGAUUAGGAAUUAUUAAUUAAAAUAAAUUUUUUAAAUAUCUAAA